GACGAACGCUGGCGGCGUGCUUAACACAUGCAAGUCGAACGGAAAGGCCCUGCUUUUGUGGGGUGCUCGAGUGGCGAACGGGUGAGUAACACGUGAGUAACCUGCCCUUGACUUUGGGAUAACUUCAGGAAACUGGGGCUAAUACCGGAUAGGAGCUCCUGCUGCAUGGUGGGGGUUGGAAAGUUUCGGCGGUUGGGGAUGGACUCGCGGCUUAUCAGCUUGUUGGUGGGGUGGUGGCUUACCAAGGCUUUGACGGGUAGCCGGCCUGAGAGGGUGACCGGCCACAUUGGGACUGAGAUACGGCCCAGACUCCUACGGGAGGCAGCAGUGGGAAAUAUUGCACAAUGGGCGGAAGCCUGAUGCAGCAACGCCGCGUGCGGGAUGACGGCCUUCGGGUUGUAAACCGCUUUCGCCUGUGACGAAGCGUGAGUGACGGUAAUGGGUAAAGAAGCACCGGCUAACUACGUG
rnacentral:rRNA from 1 species